UAGAUUUCGCGUCAUUCUGUAGCCUUAUGACGUUAAAACUGGUUCAGUUUCGUAAAAAUGAGACAACAAAGGCAUGGCACACAAAAACAGAAUCAAGUAAGUAAAAGUAUCAAAAGUGCAUAUUUAAAAAACACUACUUUACGGCAAAAUGCACAAAAAUUUUAGAUAUACGUUUUUUGAAAUUAUUAUUUUAAUAGGAGAUUGGUCCUUUAAGCAAAUAACAUACAGAUAUCAAAUAUUCCAGUUCCUUUAAAGGGAUAUUCCGGCGUACAACAAAGACGUUUAGCAAACUGUUAAAGCACACAAACCAUCGUCAUAUCAGAAAUCUGACGCUAUGACUCUCCACAAGUUGUCCUUCAGAUUGUUUGCUUUGUAAUGUUUGUGUAAAUGAUCAUAAACAAUCAGCCGGUCGGCCAUGUUGAAUUUACCCGUGAAUCUGACGUUGCAACAACACUCAAUCUGAUUGGUCAGAAGUGGACACACAGUAUGCAAAACUGUAGAAAAAUCGACCGUGAUCCGAAAAAAUGAAUGUUGCAGUAUCGCAGGAAAGGAAAAAGUCGCUGAUGUGAACGCUUGUAUUGAAAGGAUACGGGUUCGAAAAAAAUAUUGACGUACGAAAUGAUGGCACGAACAAAACAGUCCCAGUGUGAAAGGACCUUUAGACACCCCCUCGAAAGAUGAAUGUUGCCGACCCCUUGCUUCCUAGUGAUACCAACUUUAGUAACGACGGCACGAUUGCAAUACACAGCGGUCUAUGGAACCACUUACAAACCUCAACCAAAACGCCACUCUAUAGCCACAAAUAAUGCUCAGAACAGCACCUAACUUCAUCAACAGUACACAUAGGGUCCCAGCCAUAGUAUUAGCCAUCAAACAUCUUUUUUAGCUUUGCCUAAUUUCUUUAGCAAAGAGACUAAACACAAGUCACCUACUCUCUUCCAGCAGCCGCUUGUUUGUAGCAAGACCUGUUCUGUGCUGUUCUGAGCAUUAUUUGUGGCUAUAGAGUGGCAUUUUGAUUAAGGUUUGUAAGUGGUUCCAUAGUCCGCUGUGUAUUGCUAUCAUGCGGUCGUUACUGAAGUUGGUAUGACUAAAGAAGCAAGCGGUCGGCAACAUUCAUCUCUCGAGGGGGCUGUCUAACUCGAUGUUAUAGUGUGUUUGACCCUAAAUUGAUUUUACACUGGAAUAUCCCUUUAAUUUCUUCGAUAUCAUAUUGUUUUUUUCAAUUGAUCCUUAGUUAUUAAAUCUACCAGUUCCUUUAAGUUGCUGCAUCAAGGUUUUUACUAAUUAUUAGAACAAAACCUCAAAAUAACCUGGAGCCAUGCAGGACAACUUUUUAAAGCUUACUGAGUUUUUAAAGCUCCUGUUAGGAUCUUUUUUAUUUACGUCAAUGAAUCAGACUAAAAUUCAUAUUGAUGCUUUUCUUAAGAUAUACAAAGGCAAACAGGACCAUUGGUGUCACGAUGCAUUUUAUAGUUAUAAUAAUAACUUUAUUUGUAUAGCACUUUUAAAACAGAGGUUUACAAAGUGCUUUGACAUAUAGUCAUAGAGCACAUCAAAAAAGACAGAUAAAAACAAAAAGCUCAGUUAAAAUGGAAUUGAAGGCCAUUUUCACGUCAUACAUUACAAGAACCAUGUAACAUAAAAUGAGACCAUGAGGACCAAAAUGGAAACAUAAAAUAGUUAAGAAAAACGUAAAUGCCAUUAAAAGGGAGGUCGAAAGUGGAAACAGGAUAGUCAAAAUAAAAGGCAUUAUCAACAGUGAUUAUAGAAUAACAACAGGUAAUACUGUUAAUUAUAGUAAUGAUAAAAUAGAGCAACAGAAAUGAGCAAGAGAUAAAACAAUAAAAGGCCUAAAAGGUUAAUUAAGAAAAAAGUACAAGUAAAACAAAAGCUAAAAAGACGGUAAAAAUAAUGUAGUUUUAAAAGCCUAAAACUGGUGUGAGGGGGUAGGUGUUAGCCUAGACGCCAAAGACAGCCUCGUUUUUACAUCAUCUUCAUAAAAUAUUCACAAUGAACCCUACAUUUGACCAUGAAAACAGAGCAGGAUAAGAUGUUUGUCGAUGGUUUCACCACCAAUGGUUUUCUCAAUGGUUUUCCCAAUUUACACAAUGUCUUACUGCUUUGUGGCUUCUUAUUCUUAGUUCAUGCGAUUUUACUGACUGCUUUUAUCUCUUAAAACUGCUAUGUGUCAUUCAGUCAUAGCUUGUUUUUCUGUUUGGUUAUGGUGUGUUUUUUGCAGGGGUCCCUUAGAUUUUUUUCCUUUAUGUCAAAGCACUUUGUAAACAUUUGUGUUUAAAGAUGCUUUAGGGAUCCCAUCCCAUCGUCAUCCGCUUGAGUGAAACAAUUUGCAGCAUUUAACCAAGUUAUAGAGGGGAGGAGAAACGUCUUUUAACAGACAGAAACCUCGAGCAGAAUUAGACUCAUAUUAGACAGUCAUCUGCCACUACUGCACUGGGUUUAGAGAGGGGAUAUUAUAGUCCUAGCCUGGCUGGGCCAUCCUGUUGUGUGAAUCACUUGCCGUUCCUUCCCACAACAGGAAACAGCAAGUGAUUCACGCAACUGGAUGGCCCAGCCAGGCUUUUAUAGUCCAACUAUAAUACAGAAGUAAGAAUAUAUAAGAGUUAUGAAAGGGAUAUUUUGGCGUAAAAUUAAUUCAGUGUCAAACACAGCGUAACACUGAGGUAGACCCUUUUUUUUAACUUUGCCUUAUUUCUUUAGCAAAGAGACUAAACACAACUCACCUACCCUCUUCCAGCAGCCGCUUGUUUGUAGCGAGACCUCGGGCUAGUCCAUUAAGGACUGCUGCGGGGUGACGCAGCUCAAGGAAGAACAUUUAUGAUAAUUUCCUUAUCAUUUCCCUGAAGUAAUAAUCACCAUAUUAAUCAUUUUGCACUGCAGACAUGGUAGUUCUUCUGCCUUAGCGUCUCGGUCUGAUUGCAUUUCCAUGAAGAAAUGAUCAUAAAUGUUCUUCCUUGAGCUGCAUCACCCCGCUGCAGUCUGUAGUGAUCUGGACUGAAGUCUCACUACAAACAAGCCUCUGCUGGAAGAGAGUAGGUGAGUUGUGUUUGGUCUCUUUGCUAAAGAAAUCAGUCAAAGUUAAAAAGAUGUUUGGUGACUAGUACUAUGGCUAGGACCCUAUAUGUCCUGUUGAUGAAGUUAGGUGCUGUUCUGAGCAUUAUUUGUGGCUAUAGAGUGGCGUUUUGGUUGAGCUUUGUUUCUGGCUUCUCAGACGGCUGUGUAUUGCUAUCCUGCGGUUGUUACUAAAGUUAGUUUAUCUAGAGAAGCAAGCGGUCGACAACAUUCAUCUUUCGAGGGGGUGUCUAACUCGAUGUUACAGUGUGUUUGACCCUAAAUUAAUUUUACACCGGAAUGUCCCUUUAAGCUUAAGGACAGGACAAGUCAAUCUAUAUGCGAACUGUUUAAUACGGCUAACAGUGGGUAUUAGAAGAUGAGGAUGAGGACUUAUAUUGAUUUGGAGGUGUGGACUGCUGGUUUGACAUACAGUAUUGAAAAGAUUAAACAUUUGUAGUGGUGAUUGUCAACCUGGAGAUGGCGCCAGAGAUCUAGAGGAAAGGGGGGGACAACAGAAACUGAGUGCGGUGAAAACACAUAUGAGAGAAAGUUUCUACACUAAAGUGUGGUUAUUACGUUCUCCAAUUAUACAUUGUGCAGUUUUUGGCCUGACUUUGAGAACUUCAUGCAGGCUUGUGCGCUGGUCCAAUUCAUAUUGUUUCAUACAUAAAUUAUCAUGUACCGUUAAGACAAUGAUUAACUUUGUACAAAUUAGGAAGCCCCGCUUUCGCAGGGCAUCAAAAAAUUGAGAUAUACUCUUGUUGUUCCUCUCCACGGAAAUCUUUAGUAAAAGGCGAAAGAUUUAUACGAUCUGAAGAGAAACAAGAGUGAACUGUCAAUAAUGAGGUUCUCACACGGACCCCAUCGGCGCACAUAUAUGUUUCAAUUGCGGUUCUUUUUACGUUCACUUACGCAAACAUCUUAAAUAGUUCGUACAAAAACUACAAAAACCAUAAAACACUAACACAAAAUUGUGUCCUGAGAAGCAAACGUUAACUUUGCGUUAGACAGACGUUUGCGUACGCGCGCAAGGCAUGAUGGGACGUCGUUCUUCUUGUUUCCGGCGGGUCCGGAGUUAUGAAGUCAUUGUUGUUUGGCGCUACGAAAUACAAAGGUUUCCGUUAUGUUUCCUGUUGUUAUUUGAGAGUUGUCCUAAAACACUACGAAAGUGUGAGGACUGCGGAGUUGGACGGGUAAUUUUCCAAUGAGAGUAUAAUUUUCGGUCUCAACGUCCGAGUCACCAUCUUCCUGUCACAGCCUGGGUGUUUUUUCUACAGGGUUUAACAGUUAACACGAAAUUACUUGCUUUCUUUUGUGAAAAAAGUGAUUAAGAGUUUUAUAAAAGUCGUUUUUAUUUUAAUGUUUAAACUAUAAACACAUAACUGAGUGUAAAACACGUAGAACGGAUCCUAUAAUUUGAUUCAACAUAGGUGAGAGUGAGGUAAGUUGAGCCAAAGGGUAAGUUGAGCCACCCCCUGUUGCUUGGAAAUGGUCAAAGAAAUUGAUCAUGUGACCAAAUAUUUAGGAGAUGGGCAUCAAUUCAUGGAGUCUGUGAAGGUUAGAAGCACAUGGGUGAAGAGGUUAGACAUUUGUUUGCAAAAAAACCAACAUUUUUCUCUCUUGAAAGUAAAUUUAGUCUGUCACAAGUUUGAUUAGAAUUGUGUUCAGACCAAAAAAAGAUAAUUUUAAAUUUGUUUUAUACAUCAAUUGUGUUAUCCAUGACCUUUUACAAAACAGCUUUUUAGCAGUUUUAUGCAAUAAUAAUAAUAAUCAAAAGAAUUAUUGUACCAGUUGAAUAGUGUAUAAUAGAUAAAAAUAUACACGAAUGUGAAGAAGUUACUGUUAUUUAGGGAGAGAGAAGGUGAGGGAGGGCUGGGGUGGAGAGUGGAGGGGUGGUAGGGAUACGACUCAAUUUACCCCACUACUAUGGUCAACUUACCCCAUACCCCAGACCACUUUUUUUUGGCAUGCUAUAUUAUCAAGACAGUUAUGUUUACACUCAUUCUGUUAGUUUGCAGGGAUGAACAACAUCUUGAAAUAUCUGCAGAUACACUAGUUAGAGACAAAACUAUGAUCUUACCCCACUCUCCCCUACUCUGGAUUAAUCACACAAAAAGUAAAAUCCUCAAAUUAUCCCAUGAUCUCCGAAGAUAUAAAGAAACUCAUUAUGUGAAACAUACUCAUCAUUUUAAUGAGUUUCUUGAGGAGAGAUUUACAUUUAAUCUUGAUGAAUGAUUCUUUUUCACCUGUGUAAUGAUUAACAUUUUGUGUUCGUACUUCAUUUAGAUCCAGAUCCAUAAUUAUAGACUUCUUUAGUAAUAAGGUCUGAUUUAGAAUGCAUUUACAUCACUAGAGAAAUUACUCAACACUUGCACAAGAUUAUAAUCAUGUCUGACCCCUUGAAGGAAUCGUAUCCC